rnacentral:rRNA from 1 species
GACGAACGCUGGCGGCGCGCCUAACACAUGCAAGUCGAACGAGCGAGAGAGAGCUUGCUUUCUCGAGCGAGUGGCGAACGGGUGAGUAACGCGUGAGGAACCUGCCUCAAAGAGGGGGACAACAGUUGGAAACGACUGCUAAUACCGCAUAAGCCCACGGGUCGGCAUCGACCAGAGGGAAAAGGAGCAAUCCGCCUUGAGAUGGCCUCGCGUCCGAUUAGCUAGUUGGUGAGGUAAUGGCCCACCAAGGCGACGAUCGGUAGCCGGACUGAGAGGUUGAACGGCCACAUUGGGACUGAGACACGGCCCAGACUCCUACGGGAGGCAGCAGUGGGGAAUAUUGCACAAUGGGGGAAACCCUGAUGCAGCGACGCCGCGUGGAGGAAGAAGGUCUUCGGAUUGUAAACUCCUGUUGUUGGGGAAGAUAAUGACGGUACCCAACAAGGAAGUGACGGCUAACUACGUG